rnacentral:rRNA from 1 species
CUAGCUGUAAACGAUGGAUACUAGGCGUUGAGAGUAUCGACCCUCUCAGUGUCGUAGCUAACGCGUUAAGUAUCCCGCCUGGGGAGUACGCGCGCAAGCGUGAAACUCAAAGGAAUUGACGGGGGCCCGCACAAGCGGUGGAGUAUGUGGUUUAAUUCGAUGCAACGCGAAGAACCUUACCAGGGCUUGACAUGUCCGGAGCCCUGCCCAAAGGCGGGGGUGCCUACGGGAACCGGAACACAGGUGGUGC